rnacentral:rRNA from 1 species
UACGAAGGGGGCUAGCGUUGCUCGGAUUGACUGGGCGUAAAGGGCGCGUAGGCGGUUCGUACAGUCAGACGUGAAAUUCCUGGGCUCAACCUGGGGGCUGCGUUUGAUACGUGCGGACUUGAGUGCGGAAGAGGGUCGUGGAAUUCCCAGUGUAGAGGUGAAAUUCGUAGAUAUUCGGAAGAACACCAGUGGCGAAGGCGACUCACUGGCCCGUUACUGACGCUGAGGCGCGAAAGCGUGGGGAGCAAACAGG